UGUGUGUGUACGUGUGUGUGCAUGUGUGUGUCUUUGUAUACAUGGGUGCAUGAGCCCAAACACACGCACACACUCAGCAACCC
rnacentral:miRNA from 14 species